UACGGAGGGUGCGAGCGUUGUCCGGAAUCAUUGGGCGUAAAGGGCGCGUAGGUGGCGGGACAAGCGUGCGGUGAAAGCCUGGGGCUCAACCCCGGGUCGGCCGUGCGAACUGUUUUGCUUGAGCACUGUAGAGGCAGGCGGAAUUCCGGGUGUAGCGGUGGAAUGCGUAGAGAUCCGGAAGAACACCGGUGGCGAAGGCGGCCUGCUGGGCAGUAGCUGACACUGAGGCGCGAAAGCUAGGGGAGCAAACGGG
rnacentral:rRNA from 1 species